rnacentral:rRNA from 1 species
GAAGCGGCAACAGCUCAAAUUUGAAAUCUGGCCCUUUCGGGGUCCGAGUUGUAAUUUGUAGAGAGUGUUUCGGGUGAGACCACGGUCUAAGUCCAUUGGAACAUGGCGUCAUAGAGGGUGAGAAUCCCGUACGUGACUGUGGAUCGAGCCCAUGUGAAGCCUCUUCGACGAGUCGAGUUGUUUGGGAAUGCAGCUCAAAAUGGGUGGUAAAUUUCAUCUAAAGCUAAAUACUGGCUGGAGACCGAUAGCGCACAAGUAGAGUGAUCGAAAGAUGAAAAGCACUUUGGAAAGAGAGUCAAACAGUACGUGAAAUUGUUGAAAGGGAAGCGCUUGCAACCAGACCUGUCCGUAGGUGAUCAGCCGCUGUUCUCAGUGGUGCACUCGCUCUGCGAUCAGGCCAGCAUCGGUUCGGGCGGUCGGAUAAAGGCCUUGGGAAUGUAGCUUCCUUCGGGGAGUCUUAUAGCCCUCGGUGCAAUGCGGCCAGCCGGGACCGAGGACCGCGCUUCGGCUAGGAUGCUGGCGUAAUGGUUGUAAGCGACCCGUCUUGAAACACGGACCAAGGAGUCUAACAUCUAUGCGAGUGUUUGGGUGUCAAACCCAUGCGCGGAAUGAAAGUGAACGGAGGUGAGAACCCUGAAGGGCGCAUCAUCGACCGAUCCAGAUGUCUUCGGAUGGAUUUGAGUAUGAGCAUAGCUGUUGGGACCCGAAAGAUGGUGAACUAUGCCUGAAUAGGGUGAAGCCAGAGGAAACUCUGGUGGAGCUCGCAGCGGUUCUGACGUGCAAAAUCGAUCGU